rnacentral:sRNA from 1 species
GCUUUUAUUCUAAAUUCUCCAAGAAGUCCUCGUGUGUCGGUGUCCAUUUGUAGGAAUUUCAGGGCGCUACGAUUUAUCUGUAAAAAGAAAAUGCACCAGUCAGAAAAAGCCAAGAGUAAUUCAAUAGGUUUUUUAAAAUAAUAUUCUUUGCUUGUGAUUUUAAAUUUUAAAUGAAGAUUUAAUGAAAUUAAUGAAACAUUCAUUUCCUAUUUGUUAAACAGGUACAUAAACCCUGUAUAAGUGGCUAUGCAGUACUAAGUGGCUAUGCAGGCGCAUGUAUCGUUUUUACUUUCAGCUUGCACUUAAGUUAGAUUGAAUAGGAUUUUGAUUUGUUCAUUAAAAAAAAUUAAUAAAUG